CGGAGGAUCCAAGCGUUAUCCGGAUUCAUUGGGUUUAAAGGGUGCGUAGGCGGAAUGAUAAGUCAGUGGUGAAAUCCCUUCGCUUAACGAAGGAACUGCCAUUGAUACUGUCAAUCUUGAGUACAUUUGAUGUGGGCGGAAUGUGUCAUGUAGCGGUGAAAUGCUUAGAUAUGACACAGAACACCGAUUGCGAAGGCAGCUCACAAAACUGUAACUGACGCUGAGGCACGAAAGCGUGGGUAUCAAACAGGAUUAGAUACCCUGGUAGUCCACGCUGUAAACCAUGAUUACUCGAUGUUUGCGAUACUCUGUAAGCGUCUAAGCGAAAGCGAUAAGUAAUCCACCUGGGGAGUACGCUCGCAAGAGUG
rnacentral:rRNA from 1 species